rnacentral:rRNA from 1 species
AGUGAACGCUGGCGGUAGGCCUAACACAUGCAAGUCGAACGGCAGCACAGUAAGAGCUUGCUCUUACGGGUGGCGAGUGGCGGACGGGUGCGGAAUACAUCGGAAUCUACUUUUUCGUGGGGGAUAACGUCGGGAAACUUACGCUAAUACCGGAUACGACCUACGGGUGAAAGCAGGCGUACUUCGGACCUGUCGCGGAUGAAUGAGCCGAUGUCGGAUUAGCUAGUUGGCGGGGUAAAGGCCCACCACGGCGACGAUCCGUAGCUGGUCUGAGAGGAUGAUCAGCUACAUGGGAACUGAGACACGGCCGAGACUCCUACGGGAGGCAGCAGUGGGGAAUAUUGGACGAUGGGGGAAAGGCUGAUCCAGCCAUACCGCGUGGGUGAAGAAGGCGUUAGGGUGGUAAAGCCCUUUUGUUGGGAAAGAAAAGCAGCAGGUUAAUACGCCGCUGUUCUGACGGUACCCAAAGAAUAAGCACCGGCUAACUUCGUG